GAUGAACGCUGGCGGCGUGCCUAAUACAUGCAAGUCGAGCGAACGGACGAGAAGCUUGCUUCUCUGAUGUUAGCGGAGGACGGGUGAGUAACACGUGGAUAACCUACCUAUAAGACUGGGAUAACUUCGGGAAACCGUAGCUAAUACCGGAUAAUAUUUUGAACCGCAUGGUUCAAAAGUGAGAGACGGUCUUGCUGUCACUUAUAGAUGGAUCCGCGCUGCAUUAGCUAGUUGGUAAGGUAACGGCUUACCAAGGCAACGAUGCAUAGCCGACCUGAGAGGGUGAUCGGCCACACUGGAACUGAGACACGGUCCAGACUCCUACGGGAGGCAGCAGUAGGGAAUCUUCCGCAAUGGGCGAAAGCCUGACGGAGCAACGCCGCGUGAGUGAUGAAGGUCUUCGGAUCGUAAAACUCUGUUAUUAGGGAAGAACAUAUGUGUAAGUAACUGUGCACAUCUUGACGGUACCUAAUCAGAAAGCCACGGCUAACUACGUG
rnacentral:rRNA from 1 species